rnacentral:rRNA from 1 species
UACGUAGGGCGCAAGCGUUGUCCGGAAUUAUUGGGCGUAAAGAGCUCGUAGGCGGCCUGUUGCGUCCGCUGUGAAAUCCCGGGGCUUAACCCCGGGCCUGCAGUGGAUACGGGCAGGCUGGAGGCAGGCAGGGGAGAACGGAAUUCCCGGUGUAGAGGUGAAAUUCGUAGAUAUUCGCAAGAAACACCGGUGGCAAAGGCGGCCAAACUGGACCGGUACUGACGCUGAUGCGCGAAAGCGUGGGGAGCAAACGGG